GGCAGAGUGGCCUAAUGGGUAGGGCACUGGACUGGGACACCUGUGUUCUAUUCUUGGCUCUGCCA
rnacentral:tRNA from 1 species